GGCUUGAGACGGCAGUCCAUCCUUGACUACGCCGCCCCGCACGUCUUUUAGUAGGGUUAUUUUUAUUUCGACCCCUUUCGGCGCGUAAGACUUGGCGUGUAGAGCCCCGAGGACGCUCUGCCGACCAACACCAAGGAGUGCCGCCAGGCCCGGGGCCCCCACAAUGCACUUGAAGCGGGUUGCAGCUCCCAGGCACUGGAUGCGGGACAAACUGACGGAUGUGUUUUCUGUUUUUGCAUUUGGUCCCUUCUUUCUCAGAGUCCCAACCUCAGAGGCAGGACAUCGGAGGAGUGGGAGCACAGAGGGAGUAAAGGAGUCAAGCCAUUGCGUGGGCAGCCUUGCCUAAACAAGUGCCAGAGUUGUUUGUUUAUUGGGUUUCUUGGUGUACAUGCCUGCUCCUGCUGCCUAGGCAAACAGCAUCUUUGCAUUAGUAAUCUCCAUUCUGCUUGUUUGCGAUCAGAUGUCAUCAGCGUUGAAGAAGACAGGUGA
rnacentral:lncRNA from 1 species